GUUGCCGUGGCAGAGAGGUAAUGGCGAUAGAUUUAAAAUCAAUUGGAACUUUCCCGCGCAGGUUCGAAUCCUGUCGACAACG
rnacentral:tRNA from 1 species